rnacentral:rRNA from 1 species
GAUGAACGCUGGCGGCGUGCCUAAUACAUGCAAGUCGAGCGAACAGACGAGGAGCUUGCUCCUCUGACGUUAGCGGCGGACGGGUGAGUAACACGUGGAUAACCUCCCUAUAAGACUGGGAUAACUUCGGGAAACCGGAGCUAAUACCGGAUAAUAUAUUGAACCGCAUGGUUCAAUAGUGAAAGACGGCUUUGCUGUCACUUAUAGAUGGAUCCGCGCCGCAUUAGCUAGUUGGUAAGGUAACGGCUUACCAAGGCAACGAUGCGUAGCCGACCUGAGAGGGUGAUAGGCCACACUGGAACUGAGACACGGUCCAGACUCCUACGGGAGGCAGCAGUAGGGAAUCUUCCGCAAUGGGCGAAAGCCUGACGGAGCAACGCCGCGUGAGCGAUGAAGGUCUUCGGAUCGUAAAACUCUGUUAUUAGGGAAGAACAAAUGUGUAAGUAACUAUGCACGUCUUGACGGUACCUAAUCAGAAAGCCACGGCUAACUACGUG